rnacentral:miRNA from 1 species
UUCUCGAUUGUUCUGGUCCAU